rnacentral:rRNA from 1 species
AGUAACACGUAAACAACCUGCCUUCAGGAUGGGGACAACAGACGGAAACGACUGCUAAUACCGAAUAAGUUCCAAGAGCCGCAUGGCCCAUGGAAGAAAAGGUGGCCUCUACCUGUAAGCUAUCGCCUGAAGAGGGGUUUGCGUCUGAUUAGCUGGUUGGAGGGGUAACGGCCCACCAAGGCGACGGUCAGUAGCCGGUCUGAGAGGAUGAACGGCCACACUGGAACUGAGACACGGUCCAGACUCCUACGGGAGGCAGCAUG